AGCAUAUAAUUAUGCGGCUGGGCGUGGCCAGGAGCCAAUUAUGAUGGGGUCGUGGAUAAAAGAGCGGCCCCUCCUACGCCUCCUCCCUCUGUCUCCCGCUGGCGUAAUUUCCGGGACGUCCUGUGUGGCUGCAACAGGUAACUCCGGGGGCCGCGUACGUUUUUGCCAGUUUUGUAUUUGCGGGAGCCUUAACUAUUUCUUGUGCUGUGACAAAGGGGCUGUGGGUGGAUUCUGGCUCCAUGUGGUCUCCUUGUCUGGUGCGUAUCCUCUCUCGUUGUGCUGGAUCUCUCGUUAUCAGUAGUUUAAUGUAGUGUGGUCACAGGUAAAUGCUGGUAGCGGCUCGCUGCUCUUGCCUCGUCUCACUGGUUGCAUGAACAGGUGCUGUACCAUAAGGAUCAAGUCCAUCACCUCCAUUGGCUCCCUUCCGUCUGCAUGACCUCUGCUGCUUUGUCCUGCUUCAAGUUCCUGUCCGUCCGUGUAGCUGUUUCCCGGUUCGGGUUUGGCUGGCUCCGGCGUGCUGCGGUGCUUUGCUGCCGUCCGUCCUAUUGCGCUGGUCGCCCACCUGUGGUUGGGUCGUUCGCCUUCGCCGCGGCUCGUAGCAGCCCGUUCUCGGAUGCCAGCGUCCGCUCUUUUUUAGUGAGGGUUUCGUGACCCCUUUUAUCUGGUUCACACUUUCGGAUUUCGUUUUUCAUUCAAUUCCGAUUGUGUUCAAUUGAUGCUGGCGAUUUGAUUUGUAUUAGCAGUUUUAUCAUUUUAUCUGGUGAUAUUUUAACUUUGUAUAUUUGCUGAUUAUAUUUGGUGCUUUUCUUUUUGUUUCAGGGGCUGACGGCCUGUAGUGGUGUGGGUGAUCGUAGGAGAUCCUCCUGUCUGCUGUGCCGUUUCCAGGGAUGUGGGUCGUUCACGGGUGUGCUCUUUUCACGUGUGUCUGGGGGAACUUUUACUUUGGGGACCCCUCCUUUCGCUUGCCCUAGCUACUUUUAGGCCGAAGCCCUUGAUUAACUUUUGUUUUUGCAUUUUCUUUUGUUUGGAUCCUUUGUAUUAAUAAAAUAUUAUUGUGACUAA